GGAAACUGGAUGUUCUCCUAAAACAGCCACCUAGCCAAGCUGAACCAACAGAGAUGUAUUGAUCACCGGGUCAAUGGAACUAGGUGGGUGCUGGGGGGAAAGUCAGCAGGUAAGUCAGGUGAGGACUGCCUCCCUUCCACUCCCCACCCAGAGACUGAAGACAGACAGACAGACAGAGGCGUUCAUUCAGAAAGAAGUAGGAGGGCUUCAGGGAUUCAGCGGAGGAGACUGAAAGCCUGAGAGACGAUGCCUCUGAGAAGGUUACAGACCUUGGGAGAAAGCGCUUUCACCUCCUCACCACAGACACUCUCGACUGUGGACUCAGGACACUAAGCCAGAAAGGUGACGAUUUCCUUCUUGAACCCGGCCUGCAUCAGCAGCUCAGACCCAGGGCUCCGGGUCCUUUGCUCUAUGUCCAGUGCUCUUUUUGCUCCCUCACACACUUAGCGAUGGCAGUGUUCUUAGUAUACUCAAAGAGCUUUGUAAUGAAUUAGAGCAGCCAUUCCCAACCUUCCUAGUGCUGCGGUCCUUUAAUACAGUUUCUUAAGUUGUGGCGAACCAUCCCCCCCACCCCCAACCAUAACAUUAUUCUUGCUGCUGCUGUUAUGAAUCGUAAUGAAACAUUUGAUCUGCAGUACAUCUGAUAUGUGAUUCCCGAGAAAGGGCCAUCAUAUUCCAAGGGAUCGGGACCCACAGCGUGAGAAGCCCUGAACUAGAGAUCCGCCUAAACUGAGAAACAACCUAGCACCUAUCCCAGCCCAUCAAUGUUGUAUAUGGCAACAGAUUCAAAAGCCCAGACUAAAACAUACUCACCAUCCAUGUUACCAGCUCUCACCAUGGGGCAGCAAUGUGGAUUUAGUAAGCAUAGCCCACGGGCACUCAUUUUGAAGACACUAGGAGAACUUCAAAGCCAGGUUUGUUCUUCUGCCUCUGGUGACAUUUUUAAAAUUUCAGCACUGUUUUUUUUUUUAAUUGAUUCUUUGUGAAUUUCAUAUCAUGCACCUCAGUCCUGCACAUCUCCUGUCCCCUCCCUCCCUCCAACCUCCACCCUUCCCCAACAAAGAAAAAUAAGUCCCCACUAUGGAAGCUGUAGUGUGCCAUCGUGUGUCCUUUUGUCCACACUUCUUUGCUUGCAAGUGCUCAUUGCAUUGACUUUGUUGGUCUGGUACGAGUCAGGCCUCUGGCUUCUGCUAUGCUAACGAUGCUAGAACCUUACUGAGACUCCUCUAGGGUAGACUGUUGUCACCCCGUGUGUCAUGGAGACCCUGUAGUUUUGGAUCUGCAGGACUGGCUUCUUCACGUACUCCAGCAGUUCAUUGAUGGGAUAGACGUGGGGUGGGCUAACUCAAAGCCCUGGAUCUGGGCCUGAGAGGUGUCUGAGCUGCUCAGCCCACCAGCUCUCCAGUUCUUGUGGCCUUUGGAUUGGCUCGCCAGCAACCCCCUCUCCCAGGGCUAGCUCUCCUGGCUGACCAGGAACCUGACAAGACUGACUAGCCAUCUCUAGCAUUCAGAUAGGUGGAACUUCAUUGUGCUGAAGUUAUGUUUGAGCACCCUCUGCUGGACAAAUCAGAUGUGAGCGAGCAGUCUCCUUCCUGCUGCUGCAGCUGCAAGCUGCUCCUGCCGCCCAUGCCUUCUCUACUGCCAUGCCUUCCCUACCACAAGGGCCAGAACUCUCACACUGAAAGCCAGAAUAAAUCCUUCCUCUCUUCGGUUGGUUGUUGUCAGGUAAUUGGUCCCAACCAUGGUAAAGCUUAGUGGAAAAGAAAAAAAAGGUAAAAAUCUAUUGUAGACUGAGUGCCCUGAAUCAGAAAACACACAGUCCAGCUGCUCUGAAAUCUAAGCAUCAUCGUGACACUACAAAGAGAAAACUCCAUAUCUGACCACACAUGAGAAUCUACUGAUGAAUACAACCAUGGGUUUACUAAAAAAAGGUGUAUAAAAUGAUCUUCAAGCUGCUCGUAUAAGAUAGGUAUGAAGUGUAAAUUGAAUUUUGGGUCUGACCCCCUAACAUAUUUUCCUGCGUGAAUACAAAUUCCCUCAAGUCCAAAUAACCCCACACUUGGGCGUUUCAGAUAGGGGAUACCCAAUCUGUAAGCCGUUUACUGCCAUAGAGAAGCUAUGAUGCAAGCAGAGCCUACUAACAACUUGGCCAAAACACUUCUAAUAACAGAACUUCACAUGGGUUUCCAUGAGGUCAGAAUGGAAGUAGGAGGAUACAUUGUUUGACGUCAUGGUAUCUGUCCAAUUAAGGUCUGUGUGAGCCUUCCAUCACCAUAACAAAACACAGAACAGAAUCAGCUUUUUAAGGGGGCUUAUUUUGGAUUAUGGUUGCAUAGGAAGAUAUAUAGAUAGGAUCUCCAUGCCAAUAUUUUUAAUGGGUGCUGUCUCUAUUGCUCUGGGCAGGAGAAGGCAGCAGCUGGCAUCAAUGGUGUGGUGAGGAGAGAAUCAAGUUUCCUUCUCCAGUUCAAACAGACGAAAGUGAAGCGACAUAGGCUCAAGGACAGGGUCACUGGGCUAGCGCCACACCAUGGAGCCAAACCCCGAGCCUUCUAAAUUGUGAGCUGGGCAUGGUGGUUCACCCCAGGAAUCGCAGCACUGAGGGAUGAAGGCGAGAGAGUCACUGUGGGUGUGACAUCAGUCUGGCCUGAAGUCUGAGACUGUUUUUUUAAAAAGAAAACAUUUUUUUAUGUCAUAUAUUUAAUUAUAUAAAGAUUCUGUUGUUUUGUUGUUGUUGUUGUUAAAAUUCAGCCAGGAAAUUUCCAUCUGUCUGGUGUUAAUUGGUUGUUUUUCAGCACUAAUUGGGAAAUGAUAUAUUUUUAUUGUUUUAUAAAUAGAGUAAAACCCCUCAGAAACUGCUGGGGAAAUUUAAACAAGGAAAGCAAUUCUAUGUCCUUGCUUGACACCAGUUUGUCCCAGAGGUGACACAACUGUGUAGUUUUUGAAAACACUGGGCAUUUAUAUAUAUAUGAGACAAAACCCCACUGUAUAGCCCUGGCUAACUCGAAACUCACUAUGUAAAUCAGGCUGGGCUUUGACACACAGAGCUCUGCCUUUGCCUACUCAGUGUUGGGAUUUAACACCCACACCACCAUAGCCAGCCUUCUCUCCAAGGGGCAAAUUUCUUUCUGAAGCAACUUCCUCAUUUAUUAACAGUAUUGCUUCCAGACCCCGUGUGUGUGUGUGUGUGUGUGUGUGUGUGUGUGUGUGUGUGUACAGAUAUGUGUUUGCAAGUAUUUAGACACAAGUUGAUGCAGACUACACCAGUUUCAUGAAAUUGUUCCCAUGUCAGUGGCUAGUCUGAGCCUUUUGUACUUGUAAACAGCUGGCUGUAAACUGGGGAUUCCCAUACUCUCCUCUUCAGCCCCAUAAUUAUCAUGGUGAUUUGCAACCUGUAGGUAAUGACCCGUUUGGCUCAUAUAUCAGAUAUUCUGCAUGUCAGAUAUUUAUAUUUUGAUUCAUAACAAUAGUAAAAUUAUAGUUAUGAAGUAGUAAUGUAAAUAGUUACACUGUGGGGGUCACCACAACACGAGGAACUGUGUUAAAUGGCUUCAGCAAUAGGAAGGUUGAGAGCCACUGAUUUAUUAGGUCAUUUCAUGGAUCGUGGGGAUGCUUUCUACUUUCAUCUAUUGUUUAUUACAAAAGAUGUAGACAGACAGAUAGAUAGACAGACUCACAGAUAAAUAGAAAAAUAGAUGACAGAAAGAUAGAAAGUUAGGUAAAAAGAUAAAAAGAUAGGUAGAUGCUAGAAAGAUAGAUAGACUCAAAGACAAAUAGAAAGAUAGAUAAUAGAGAAAGGUGGAAAGAAAAAUAGAUAGAUGAUGGAAAGAUAGGUAGAUAGACUGACAGAAUGA
rnacentral:lncRNA from 1 species